rnacentral:tRNA from 1 species
CAGAAAAUAGUUUAGUUUAGAAUUCUGGCUUUGUGAGCCAGUGUUGAAGGAUAAAAUCUCUCUUUUCUGG